rnacentral:rRNA from 1 species
CCUACGGGAGGCAGCAGUGGGGAAUUUUGGACAAUGGGCGCAAGCCUGAUCCAGCCAUGCCGCGUGAGUGAAGAAGGCCUUCGGGUUGUAAAGCUCUUUCGGCCGGGAAGAAAUCGCAUUGGUUAAUACCUGGUGUGGAUGACGGUACCGGAAUAAGAAGCACCGNA